rnacentral:rRNA from 1 species
AGAGUUUGAUCCUGGCUCAGAACGUACGCUGGCGGCACGCCUAACACAUGCAAGUCGAACGAAGUAGCAAUACUUAGUGGCAGACGGGUGAGUAACAUGUAGGUAUCUACCCUAUGGCCUGGAAUAACACGAGGAAACUUGUGCUAAUACUGGAUAAGUCUUUACGGAGAAAGCUUUAUGCACCAUUGGAUGAGCCUGCACUUGAUUAGUUUGUUGGUGGGGUAAUGGCCUACCAAGACUGUGAUCAAUAGCUGAUUUGAGAGGAUGAUCAGCCACAUUGGGACUGAGACACGGCCCAAACUCCUACGGGAGGCAGCAGUGGGGAAUCUUGCACAAUGGAGGAAACUCUGAUGCAGCGAUGCCGCGUGAGUGAAGAAGGCCCUUGGGUUGUAAAGCUCUUUCGUCGGGGAAGAAAAUGACUGUACCCGAAUAAGAAGGUCCGGCUAACUUCGUGCCAGCAGCCGCGGUAAUACGAAGGGACCUAGCGUAGUUCGGAAUUACUGGGCUUAAAGAGUUCGUAGGUGGUUGAAAAAGUUAGUGGUGAAAUCCCAGAGCUUAACUCUGGAACUGCCAUUAAAACUUUUCAGCUAGAGUAUGAUAGAGGAAAGCAGAAUUUCUAGUGUAGAGGUGAAAUUCGUAGAUAUUAGAAAGAAUACCAAUUGCGAAGGCAGCUUUCUGGAUCAUUACUGACACUGAGGA